rnacentral:rRNA from 1 species
GCGAACGCUGGCGGCGUACUUAACACAUGCAAGUCGAACGGGGAUCAUCGGGUUAGCAAUAACUCGGUGGUCCUAGUGGCGCACGGGUGAGUAACACGUGGGUGACCUGCCCUCAGCUCUGGGAUAAGCCUGGGAAACCGGGUCUAAUACCGGAUAUGACUCCAUGACGCAUGUUGUGGGGUGGAAAGCCUUGUGCGGCUGAGGAUGGGCCCGCGGCCUAUCAGCNGUUGGUGGGUGAUGGCCUACCAAGGCGACGACGGUAGCCGGCCUGAGAGGGCGACCGGCCACACUGGGACUGAGACACGGCCCAGACUCCUACGGGAGGCGAGCAGUGGGGAAUCUUGCGCAAUGGGCGAAAGCCUGACGCAGCGACGCCGCGUGAGGGAUGACGG